AGGCUUAGAAAACAAAUGGGGAGUGAUGUGACAAGGCUCCCUCUCAGUUUUCUGUUUCUGUGGCAGAUGUGCGCCCUCCACCCAGGGGUUCCACCCACUUGCUAGGUCCGGUGUUAAGAAGUGUUUCCCGAUGUCUGUGGAGGAGCUCGGAGAGACUCUGAGGAACCAACCUCCUGCCCUGCAGGCCUGGACUCCUCCAAGAAGCCCUCCUGAAUUGAG